rnacentral:rRNA from 1 species
AGUGAACGCUGGCGGUAGGCCUAACACAUGCAAGUCGAACGGCAGCACAGUAAGAGCUUGCUCUUACGGGUGGCGAGUGGCGGACGGGUGAGGAAUACAUCGGAAUCUACUUUUUCGUGGGGGAUAACGUAGGGAAACUUACGCUAAUACCGCAUACGACCUACGGGUGAAAGCAGGGGAUCUUCGGACCUUGCGCGAUUGAAUGAGCCGAUGUCGGAUUAGCUAGUUGGCGGGGUAAAGGCCCACCAAGGCGACGAUCCGUAGCUGGUCUGAGAGGAUGAUCAGCCCCACUGGAACUGAGAACCGGGCCAGACCCCUACGGGAGGCAGCAGUGGGGAAUUUUGGACAAGGGGCGAAAGCCUGAUCCAGCCAUACCGCGGGGGUGAAGAAGGCCUUCGGGUUGUAAAGCCCUUUUGUUGGGAAAGAAAAGCAGCAGGUUAAUACCCCGCUGUUCUGACGGGACCAAAAGAAUAAGCACCGGCUAACUUCGU